rnacentral:rRNA from 1 species
UACGGGGGGGGCAAGCGUUGUUCGGAAUUACUGGGCGUAAAGGGCGCGUAGGCGGGUGGACAAGUCUCUCGUGAAAGCCCACGGCUCAACCGCGGAAUUGCGGGAGAUACUGUCUGUCUUGAGUCCGGGAGAGGAGGGUGGAAUUCCAGUGUAGCGGUGAAAUGCGUAGAUAUUGGGAGGAACACCGGUGGCGAAGGCGGCUCUCUGGGCCGGUACUGACGCUGAGGCGCGAAAGCUACGGGAGCAAACGGG